ACACUUUUGCAUUUGUGUGAGCUAAAGUGAUGUAAAAAGCCAAUGUACAUGACUUAAAGAUCACGUAUGACAGGCAGUUUCUGCCAACCUCAUAUUAAGCUUGAGUGCCUCUACACACUGUAAAAAGUGAUUCGUGGCCGUAGUAAAUAUGGCUCAAUUAAAUAGGCUGAUUUUCCUCAAAAAAAUAGGUUUUGCAAAUUACUUAAUUUCUUUUAUAAAUGUUACAAAAUUUAUUGAGAUUGCAGUUUGCUUAAAAUAAUGAGUAAACACAGCAAGUAAUGUUUAGUAAAGUCGCAUGAAUCUGGUUAUUAGUCAAUUUGACAAAACAUUUUAAGAUUUGGUUAGAUCAUGUGACACAGCAGCGGCCAUUUUCUGAAAACCAUCUCCUCAGACGAUAAAGGUGAGUAAACUUAACUUGUUUUAUACUAAAAUGUUUAAUAAAAUAAAUCCCACCAAUAGUGUGAACAUACAUGUUUCUUAGUGUUUUCAUUUUAAAUGAGUUUAAUUGUGGUGCUGCACAUUUCUUAGUGUUUUAAAUAAGCUCCUAGAUGUACAGAAACAUGUGUGCACAGCGCUUCAACUUUUGUGAGAAGAAAGUUUAUUUAAGUUGCUUAAAUGAGAUUUAUGGUAAACAAUCACGAUUGCCUACUUUUAUGAAGGCAUGAAAACACGUUGAUAGUUAUAUUCGCCGUCCAGCUCCUUGAGCUUUUUAGUUUCAAUUUGACACAACGCGCCACAUUAACAGACAACGUUUUUAAGUGAGUUAAAAAGAGCGCGAAGCCGUCAUUGCUUUAUUUCAAACCUUUCAUCUGUUUGUCUAUACCGCCUGCAAACGCGACAAACGCCUUGUUGUUAAUGGUUUCUGUUAUCUUUUGUCAUGUCGCAUCUUGAGGUGCGGACAGGGUGUGACCGCUUACCGUGAGCUAGAAGUGCGAGGCGGAGGCUGGAACAGCGGGCUCAAAUCUCUAUUCAUUGUGUUGGUUAGAAACUUCCUUAAAACGGCACACUGUCACUUUGCAGACACGAUAGAGGAGAAUAGUGUCGGCUAAGACUAGUGAUUAAUUUAUGUUUUAUUGUAGUACUUAUAUAAUUGUUUGUGUCAUAAAUGCAUAUUUUGCAUACUGAGCAGUGUAAGUGAACAAAACACAGUAGUGUUAAGUACAAUCAACUUUGUUAGUGUGACAUUAUGGCAAUGUUGUGAAGUUCUGGUAAAGUUCCAUUAUGUGACUUUAAUAUCUUUGUUUUAUAUUUUAGGAAAGCCAAUUCCUGAAUGAAUGUUAAAAAAAUCUUGGGAGACCUAAUUUUCAUAGCGAGUAACUUAUACAGAACUGGACAAUAAUGGUGAAGUUAAUCAACCUUGCGGAGCACACAGUAAUCACCAGAGGGGGGAUCUCCAGAUACUCCAGAUCUCCAUAUUCAGCUCAACACCACACGUAACAUGCAAGCAUACAAGACCACACAAACAUUAUAUAAAUAACAUAACUCUACACGGUUAUCAAACGCACAUACACACUCAUGCAUACAACACCACAAAUAUUAAAAACCACUAGCCAUGUUGAUGGUUACUGUUGUUAUAAUGUUUCAGAAUGUUUGUUGUUUAGUAUCGUUUAUUUGUUUUUGUUGUACAAUGAAAUUUACAUUUCUGAACUGCUGUAUGUUUCAUGUUUAAAUUAUUCAGUAAAAAAAUAAAGCUUUUAACAUUU